UACGAAGGGGCUAGCGUUGCUCGGAAUCACUGGGCGUAAAGCGCACGUAGGCGGAUUGCUAAGUCAGGGGUGAAAUCCUGGAGCUCAACUCCAGAACUGCCUUUGAUACUGGCGAUCUUGAGUCCGGGAGAGGUGAGUGGAACUGCGAGUGUAGAGGUGAAAUUCGUAGAUAUUCGCAAGAACACCAGUGGCGAAGGCGGCUCACUGGCCCGGUACUGACGCUGAGGUGCGAAAGCGUGGGGAGCAAACAGG
rnacentral:rRNA from 1 species